UCUGAGAAGCAGAGACCAACAGCCAUCCCUGGACUACACAGACUGCUUUACACCCACCCUAUCUUUGCUCGCACUCAGGGAGCUGGAGCAAGUGCACUUGCGCAGGGGGGCUGACUAGCCAAGCAAGCAACCCCAUGGGUGAGCAACAGGACAUUGGUGCACUUCUCCCUAGCAGAAACUGAAGAGGACACUACAGUGUGUGAUUUUCUCAACACAGUCUUUCAGAACCUUCUCUCAGCCGGGCAUACAGCUCAGCAGCGCAGCACCUGCCUGGCAAGUGCAAGGUCCUGAGUUUGAUUCCCAGUACAAAAAAAAAAAAAAGAACCUUAUCUCCUCUUCAGAUUCACCAUCUAUACAAUGGGGUUAAUUACAGCAAGUUAAAUGAAAACAGCAGAGCACAAUGUUUAUUAUUUGGUAGCAUUCAAUAAAUGUUACUGACCGUACUUGGUUUGUUUACUUAUGUAUGUAUGUGGUGCUGGGAAUUCCUCAUGCAUGCUAGGCAAGGGCUGUACCACUGAGCCACACCCACAGUCCCUGUAUUUGCAUUUUGACUGAGAUUUGGUGAUGUCCAAGAAUGCUGAAAAAAAUAAAUAGUAGGGACUGUGGAUUUAGCUAUGUGGUGGAGUACUUGACUAGCACAUGCAAGGCCCUGGGUUCAAUCCCCACCAUGAAAAAAUUAAAAUGAAUAAA